CAAUUUCAGUAUGUUUCAUAGGCUGGUCUCAAAACUACUGUGCUAAACCAACUUCUCUGCCUCAGCCCCCUGAGUGGACCACAAGCCCACACCACUGGUUUUAUACAUCUUUAAACAGAAAAUAUAAUCAAACACCCAUCGAAGGAAGAAGGAACCUGGGCCAAUGAGAUGGAUCAGAAGGAAAAGGCGUCUGUGGCCAAGCCUCAAGUUCAGUCCUUGGGGGCCCACGUGAUGGAAGGAGAGAACCGACUCCUGCGAGCUUGUCCCUAGGGCUCCACAGGCCUUCCCAGACCCCUUCAGAAAUGAUUGCCGGGCAAUGUUUUGGAAACACUGGUGAGCGGUGCCUUGCUUGCGGGUCAGCACCUCGAUGGACUUGGUGGCUCAGGCUCUUCGAAGGAGCCGCAGGGAUCCUGACAGAGACCAGCUCAGAGCCUAGGCUCUUCCUGGCUUUUGAAAUGGUUGUUCAAAGCAAAUAACAAAAAGGAAUGCUGUUCUGGAUGCGUUUAAAAUUUUUUGAAAAUCAAUGACUCAUUUGUUACAGAGUAACGAAGAGCAAAAUAAAAGAGGCUUCAUAAAAACUGCACUUGAACCCUGUGGCGGAACUCUGAACGAACUCUGUGCCGAGGGUGUGCGAUUCUGGAGUACAACCUGGUUAGGGGUCCGGCUUUGGAAAAGCAUUUGAUCCACCACACUGAAGGACGUCUCCGCUGACAGAAUACAUUGCUCAUUUGAGGAAAGACUCACUCUGUCGAACGGAUCCAAUCCAGAAUAUGACUAACUGUUUUAAGCAGAAAAUUAUCUCUGGCUGUUAUAUGCAAAUUAUGCAAUACCAUUGCCUUAAAAUUGGGAAGAAGAUAAUGAAGAGUCGCCAAGGACAGGGUGUGGCCAUCAUGGGACUUUUUAGGCCAUUUUGCUUCUAUCUCCUGUGCUGAGACCUACCCACAGGGACCACCCUGAUAUGUUCUUUUUUGUUUGCUUGUUUGGCUUAAGAUCUGAGCCAUUACACAAGGACUGGGGGGGCCUUCGCUCUCCACCACUCCCUUCAAACGCAUUUUUCCAUUUGAGCCUUCCUCCUUGGACUCAAAACACACUGACUGAUGUGUUACAAGCACAGACCGGAGGUAGGAAGUUAGCUCAGUGGUAGAACAUUCUCUUGCAUACAUAAGGGCCUGAGUUCA